CGUUGAAGGUGAAUCGUAAGGUUUGCUGGAGGUAUCAGAAGUGCGAAUGCUGACAUGAGUAACGACAAAGGGGGUGAAAAACCUCCUCGCCGGAAGACCAAGGGUUCCUGUCCAACGUUAAUCGGGGCAGGGUGAGUCGACCCCUAAGGUGAGGCCGAAAGGCGUAAUCGAUGGGAAACGGGUUAAUAUUCCCGUACUUCUGACUAUUGCGAUGGGGGGACGGAGAAGGCUAGGUGGGCCAGGCGACGGUUGUCCUGGUUCAAGUGCGUAGGCUUGAGAGUUAGGUAAAUCCGGCUCUCUCUAAGGCUGAGACACGACGUCGAGCUGCUACGGCAGUGAAGUCAUUGAUGCCAUGCUUCCAGGAAAAGCCUCUAAGCUUCAGAUAGUCAGGAAUCGUACCCCAAACCGACACAGGUGGUCGGGUAGAGAAUACCAAGGCGCUUGAGAGAACUCGGGUGAAGGAACUAGGCAAAAUGGUACCGUAACUUCGGGAGAAGGUACGCUCUUGAUGGUGAAGUCCCUCGCGGAUGGAGCUGACGAGAGUCGCAGAUACCAGGUGGCUGCAACUGUUUAUUAAAAACACAGCACUGUGCAAAAUCGCAAGAUGACGUAUACGGUGUGACGCCUGCCCGGUGCCGGAAGGUUAAUUGAUGGGGUUAGCGCAAGCGAAGCUCUUGAUCGAAGCCCCGGUAAACGGCGGCCGUAACUAUAACGGUCCUAAGGUAGCGAAAUUCCUUGUCGGGUAAGUUCCGACCUGCACGAAUGGCGUAAUGAUGGCCACGCUGUCUCCACCCGAGACUCAGUGAAAUUGAAAUCGCUGUGAAGAUGCAGUGUACCCGCGGCUAGACGGAAAGACCCCGUGAACCUUUACUACAGCUUGGCACUGAACAUUGAACCUACAUGUGUAGGAUAGGUGGGAGGCUUUGAAGACGUGACGCCAGUUGCGUUGGAGCCGUCCUUGAAAUACCACCCUUGUAUGUUUGAUGUUCUAACUUAGACCCGUUAUCCGGGUUGAGGACAGUGCCUGGUGGGUAGUUUGACUGGGGCGGUCUCCUCCCAAAGAGUAACGGAGGAGCACGAAGGUGGGCUAAUCACGGUUGGACAUCGUGAGGUUAGUGCAAUGGCAUAAGCCCGCUUAACUGCGAGAAUGACGGUUCGAGCAGGUGCGAAAGCAGGUCAUAGUGAUCCGGUGGUUCUGUAUGGAAGGGCCAUCGCUCAACGGAUAAAAGGUACUCCGGGGAUAACAGGCUGAUACCGCCCAAGAGUUCAUAUCGACGGCGGUGUUUGGCACCUCGAUGUCGGCUCAUCACAUCCUGGGGCUGAAGUCGGUCCCAAGGGUAUGGCUGUUCGCCAUUUAAAGUGGUACGCGAGCUGGGUUUAGAACGUCGUGAGACAGUUCGGUCCCUAUCUGCCGUGGGCGUUGGAAGAUUGAAGGGGGCUGCUCCUAGUACGAGAGGACCGGAGUGGACGAACCUCUGGUGUUCGGGUUGUGUCGCCAGACGCAUUGCCCGGUAGCUAAGUUCGGAAUUGAUAAGCGCUGAAAGCAUCUAAGCGCGAAGCGAGCCCUGAGAUGAGUCUUCCCUGAUACUUUAAGUAUCCUAAAGGGUUGUUCGAGACUAGAACGUUGAUAGGCAGGGUGUGUAAGCGUUGUGAGGCGUUGAGCUAACCUGUACUAAUUGCCCGUGAGGCUUAACCAUACAACACCCAAGGGGUUUUGUA
rnacentral:rRNA from 1 species